rnacentral:lncRNA from 1 species
AGCUCCAGAUCCAUCUUUUUAUUCUAUUUUCACUUUUAUUUAUUUAUUGUAUUUAUAAUUAAUAUCUUUUUAUAUAUAUUUGCUUAUAUCGCGCCGCCAGAUCCUUCGCCGCUCAGAUUCCGAUCAUCGGCGUCGUUUCAGAAUCUAACACUAGAUACUCCUUGUGCUACUUCAUUUAUAGACAGAUAGAUACGUUUUGUAUGUAUGUCCAUGUGUUUCAUUUCAGCUUAUUUCUGCUUUUUGUUUAAUUAGCUUAGAAAUUGGGGUUUAUUAAAGUAUGGAUUCGUAGAUUAAUUAGUUUUAGAUUGCUUGUAGUUUAGAUCAGUAUGGAUUCGUAGAUUAAUUAGUUUUAGAUUGCUUGUAGUUUAGAUCCCUUUUUUUUUUUUUGGAUUUUAGGGUUAGGAUUGAUAAAUAGAUUAGUUAAUUUUAGAUUGUAUUGUAGAUUAGUGUUUUUGUUUUUUGGGAUUUUUUGGGGGAUUUUAGGGUUAGGAUUGAAAAAGUGGCGAAGAUGAGUUUGGGGGCGGCUGAGGAUGAUUCAGCAACGGAGAUUCAUCUUCCAGCUGAUAUUGAUUGGGAAAUGCUCGAUAAAUCGAGGUUUUUCUUUCUCGGGGCAGCUCUUUUCUCAGCUGUAUCUGGCACUUUGUAUCCAAUGGUUGUGUUGAAAACUAGGCAGCAAGUGUUGCUUAAAGAUACUUCGUGUUUUAAGCUUGCGGCUUGGGUGCUCAAGCAGGAGGGGUUUAGGGGGUUUUAUAAGGGCUUUGGGACGUCGUUGAUGGGGACGAUUCCUGCUAGGGCGCUUUAUAUGGGGGCACUUGAGGUUACCAAGAGUAGUGUGGGUACUGCUACUGUUAAUUUCGGGGUUUCUGAGGGGAAUGCUGCCGCGAUUGCGAAUGCUGCUGGGGGUGUCAGUGCUGCUAUGGCGGCGCAGUUGGUUUGGACUCCGAUUGAUGUUGUUAGUCAGAGAUUGAUGGUGCAAGGUGGGAGUAAUGUGAAUGGUUCGGGUGGGAGUGCUGUGAGGUAUAGUGGUGGGAUUGAUGCGUUUAGGAAGAUUGUUGCCUCAGAUGGGUUGAGAGGUCUUUAUAGGGGGUUUGGGAUUUCUACAUUGACGUAUGCUCCGUCCAAUGCUGUAUGGUGGGCGUCUUAUUCUGUAGCGCAUAGGUUGAUUUGGGGAGGGGUUGGUUCAUAUUGUUGUAAGAAAGAUGAAGGGGGUUUUAGGCCUGGUUCGAUGGCUGUGGUGGCGGUACAAGGGGUUAGUGCUGCUAUGGCUAGUGGGGUAUCAGCCUUGAUCACAAUGCCGCUAGAUACAGUAAAGACAAGACUGCAAGUGUUGGAAGGAGAGGGCCGGCCGACAAUUGGACAGACCGUGAAGAAGCUGGUCAAGGAAGGCGGACUAGGUGCUUGUUAUAGAGGUUUGGGGCCGAGGUGGGCUUCGAUGUCUCUUUCCGCAACCACCAUGAUCACCACUUACGAGUUCCUAAAAAAAAUGUCUACGAAGAAUCAAGAAGUGUUUGCUUAACUAAGUUUUGUGGGAGAAAGAUACAAAGUGGAAAAAGUUUAGUAUGUUGCAAAUCAGAUACACACUGUUAUAACUUGGUUGCUUGUCAUGUGCUGAUGACCUUCCUCUAUGAAUACCAAUGUAAAUAUGUAAAGUUGUACUUAAGGUUUACUUAUGAUUAACACGAAAAUCAAAUUACAAUGUCCAAUAUUGUACAAGUAGUUCAACCUUGGUCAGGGUCAGAGUCAGAUCCUGUUAGUUGUGUCUGAAUGAUAUUGUAGGUUCCCGGGGGACAUCCACCUGGUAUAUACAAGAGCCAGAUUGAGGGUACAAACAUUGAGCAAUAUGCCUCUACUUCGGUUCAAGAGGCAAAUGCUGAGCAGUAUGGCCACUCAGAAAGGUCAAGCCACCAGAAGCUUCAUAAACAUAUCGUCCAACGAUUGGAGAACCUAAUUGAUAUCAUCCCCAAGUAGAAUUAAAGUAAUCAAAUCUGAUGUCAUAUGGUUGUUUACCUAACAAAACUGCGAUUCGUUAAUUUGCAUUCAUCUUGAUUACUGUACGGAGUACCGACUAAACACAAACUAUUAUAUCGAAUUAUUGAUAGCUGCAUUUUGCAGCGGACAUAAGAUAUCUAUUUAUAAUGUAAACUUAAAAAAUGAUCAUAUUUCUCUUCUAUAAAUACACAAUCUUUAUAUCCUAUUUUCGUAUAAUCUUGCAAUAUUUUCCAUUAAAUAUUUUCUCAUAUAGUGUGAAUUUAAUAUUUUUCCCAUGUAAUUUGUUUUUUUUCCCGUAAUAUGAUGAUCUUAAUUAUAUGACAUGUUAUUUAAUUAAAUUAUAUUUUUAAAUCUUUUAAUCACUAUAAUUUGAUCUUUUAAAUUUUAAUGUUGUUAAAUGAUGUCCUAAAAUUAAAAUCAACUUUGCUAAGUCGUAAGUAUGAAUUUUAAUUAAUUUUAGAAUCUGGAUAAAAAAAACUGAACCGUGGUCUUAGUAUUGAUAAAAAAUUGAAUUCUACAUAAUAACCGACCCUUUCAAAUUGUAAUGUGACCAUUUCCCUAAUUUAGUAAUUAUUUUUAUCAUAAAUAUAAUUAUGAUGUGUUAUUAAUUUGUUUAAAUUCAAUUAUCAUAUAAGAAGUAGGUGAAAGAUAAAAAAAAAUAAAUUGAUAUUUUUUGGAGGCCAAUUAAUAUUUAAUUGUCAAAAAAAUAACCUUGAAGGCUACUUGUCUACUUGUUUUUUAGGAGAGAAAGCAAGUGAAUGUAAGUGAAUUAAAGUGUGCUCUCACUUUCCUCCCAAAAGCCACUUUUGGGGUGAAAGUUUUAGAGUGAAACUAAGCUAUAUUUGCACUCACUUUCACUUGCUUUCGCCUUUUUAAAGAACUCAGGAGCACGAAUAGAAGUGAGAGUUAGAUCACUUUACUUUCUCUUCACUUGCUUUCCUCCCUAUUUAAAACUCGAGAGCAGGGUGUUAAUCGCAAAAAAAAAAUAACCUCCCACGUAAGUGAAUUGGGUCUUAGAACGGGAGAUGCUCUAAAGCCUUGCAAAGCUUCUAACCUCAUCAACCUGUUUCAUAUCAUGAUCAAAACAAGACAAUCCUAAUAUCUAUUACUUUUAAGGAAACAACAUAUGAAGGAAGGGAAAACAUCAGAUAUGGACACAUAAAUACUGAGCUUAAUUAUUGUUUCAAAUGUUUGAAGAGAAGAGUAUUUCCAAUUCCCACAAUGAACAACAUAAAUUCUAACUGAAUACAUAAGCAUCCUGAUUGUAACGUCUUCAGGUUAAAAAAGAAAAGAAAAGAAACAUCCUCAUGGCAACCUACGCACUAACAUCAAUUUUAAAACACAGAAGCUACACAUUUGAUUAUGGGGACCUACACGAUAUCUAAAGACUGAUAAUCAAGAUACUUGUUUUCAUUGCCGAGACAGAACCCGCAUAUUAGAUCGUUAGCACAAUCCAACUAUGAAGAGUGAGGGGUUUCAGCUGUUUUGGUAACAGUCAAACACGAGCCCUUUUGUUGCUGCAAGAGGGGCAUUUGUACUGCUUGAUAUGCUCAGCCCUGGCUGGGGUGAUCUUGACGCACUUCCCAUGGAACCACUUCUCGCAGAUGUCACAGCAAAUCCAGAACUCAUCCUGUCCAUAGUUCUCUCCACAUGCUCCACAUAAUGCAUCCCCAUGUUCAUCUUCCUCUUCUUCCAAGCCUUCCUCAUCCUCAUCAUCGUCUUUUGGUUCCGGUCCUUUUGGAAACUUGACUUCAGAUUCAGUGAUUCGCUGUUUCAUCAAGAACUUGAAACAUUAGAAAGUUUAUUAAACAGAUAAAAUCCUGCACACCAACUAAAUUUUGAUAAAUAAAAGAACAAAUUGUUUAUUCAGUUCUUUUCCGCUAUCCAGCUUUGAAAAACCUGAAACCGCGGAGAGGGUACGUAAUUACUAAUGUCAUUCCCAUAUAAGGAUUAAAAAAGAAAUAGACUGUGGCGAAGGUCUUAGUUUACCAAAGCUCAUAACUUGCUCUCAUGAAGGUGAGCAAACUAAAGAUGGCUAGCCGCAGGUGAGACAGACAUGAUAUGUAAUAUAGGAAUCUCCGUAUCCAUAGCAAUAAAAGGGUGUCCUUAUUCAGCAACACCAAAUAAGGAAAUAUAUAGUCAUCAUAUUUACAAAUAUAAUAAUUGUAGAGUUCAGGAAAAUUGAUGCCAACAAUGAGACACUUGACUUUGACGUAUUAAUCUACGUUCAUAUGGCAAUAAGCAACACCAAAUAAGGAAAUAAAUACUCAUCAUGUUCACAAAUAUAAUAAAUUGUUCUUGUUAUAAAAAAGGUGUCCUUAUUUAGCAACACCAUAUAAGGAAAUAAAUACUCACUAUAUUUACAAAUAUAAUCAAAUAUAACAAAUUGUAGUAUUCCAAAAAAAAUGUGCCAACAAUGACACACAUGACUUCCACGUGUGAAUCUCCAAUUUUAUGCCAUAGAAGGGUGUAUUUAGCAACACCAAAUAAAGAAACAAAUACUCUCAUAACAUUUAAAUAUAUAAUAAAGUGUAGAGUUCCGAAAUAUAACUGCCAACAAUGACACUUGAGAUUAAGUACUUGUUUAACUUCUUCAGUCGUCAAAUGCUGUGCCCUAAGUUAUGCAUUUCAAUUAAUUUAGGCACCUAGCUAGCUUUGAAAACCACAAACUAUUCCCAUAACUGAAAUCAAAUAUAACGAUCAACGUGGGUCAAAUUCUUAAGACUCGGGAGCAGAGGAUCUAGCAGCAACUUUAUUCAGACAAUGGAUUUAAAAAAAAGAGAGAUAGAGAAACUUUUCCCCACCUUAGGAUUUGACUUAGGUUUGUUGUUGCCAUGAUUGGACACAGCUGAUUUUUCCUUUGACUGUUUCUUAGAUGCCCCCGUCGUCACAGCUUCAUAUAUCGUUGGGAGAUCAUUUAUCAUAUUAAAAAGUCUCUUUCUGCACAAACAAUACAAAUAGGAAAAAAUAUUAAAGGGUAUGAGACCAAAGCAUGUGUCAUCCCAUGAGAUAAUACACAAGCAGCAACUUUUAGCCACCACUGCAGAACUAUCUAUUUUGGUCGUUUCUAAGAUCAGUGCAGGUCAACUCAUAAGAGCAAGUCCAAUGCUAAAGUUUAAACGGCUAUAGCCAUUGUAUAAUUUAAGACCAAAAGGUAGUGUUUGGUAUUAAAAUACAAUUAGUGGUCCAAUGCAUAGUUUUAAAAUAGGACAAACUACAUUCCAGUCUUACUAACUUUUCACCAAACUCCUUUAACUUUAGUUAGGUAGAUGAUGUGGCAAGGAUGACUAGCUAUCUUCAGCCCUAAAUCUAAUACCAACUAUUCAUUUAUGCAUGUAUAGGACUAAAUAUAGCUAGCAUUGGAGUGGUAUUUUGUAAACUUAGUUCUAUAUUAUAGCUAUGCAUUGGACUUGCUCUAAACACAACAUAUGCAUAAGCGGGAUACGGUUCUUUCUUUGCUCCAAGCAGAUACAGCACCACUUCAGGUAAUGAUGAUGCAUUAACUAUAAGCUAUGUGAAUGAGGGGUAAAAAGAUUUUCUGCAAUGUCAUAUAAUCAAUGUUAAACUGCUAAUGCUAAUGUAUAAAAGCAUAUAUUCAAUGACUCGUCCGCAACCAUGCUAUUGACUUGACCUGCCUCAGUGAAGGAAUAUAGCAUUCAGUUGACCACUGAUGCCCAACUAAGAAUAGAAUUGUCAAGUUGUAUUAAUCACAUAGAAAUUAGUUGAAUAAUAUACUUUUUCCAUGUUAUUUCUGUUCAUAGGAGUAAGUUGGUCUCUAAAUCACUGAACACACUCUCUCACAAAUGGAAUCAACUUUCUCACCACAAAGGAUGUUAGCAUACCGAUAGAUUGUAGGGUGCUAAUCUGGUUUCAUCACAAUUACCGGAGGACGGUACAAACAUCCCAAUUAUAAUGGUUUAUAACUUUGCAUAGUUAAUGGGGACGAUCAUCCAGCAUUAGUAGUAUCAUACUGUAUAAAUUACAUAAUUGAGCAAUAAACUUAUUUUGAGAAAAAUUUCAAGAAAUGGAUACAUGAAGCAGAACACCACUUUGUCAUUUUUAAUUAAAUGCGAUAUUGUGACAGAAAGUGGUGCCCUUUUCAAAUAUGCCUUGAACACCGUUCUUACUGCACUCUGUAAUUGCUAAAUUUUUGAAUAAUACAUGGCAUAUAUGAGUUAUAUAUAGUAUUUUGGAACGGGAACACUCAUAGCUGUAAGCAAUUAUGUACAACAUAUACUACAUGAUAGAGCAUUUGCAAAACUUUAUCUACUAGAAUAGAAACUUGUCCUUCAAGUCUUUCACAUAAGAUUAAGACAAUGUAAAAGAGACAUUUUUCUGGUAUUUAAGCAAUAUCAAUAACCUUAAAGGUGUACAACAUUAGAACUGCAGCAGCCUUAAGGCACGCUCUACAUAUUCAAAAUUUUCCAAAUGAAAUUUGUAAGCAAUGACAAAUUAUUAAAAAGUUUAGCCACAUUGAAAAAUUCAGCUGAUCAUUGAGGACAUAAGCUUCAGUUUUUCUUUUUCAUCUAAAUCCUCCCAUAUACAGCCAGAACAUGUACAGUGCCAGCAUAGCUAACAUAAGGCAAGUAAAACAUAUUACAUUCAAGCUAAUUUAUCCAGAUUCCAAUGG